CGCUGAAAGCAUCUAAGUGGGAAACUCGCCUCAAAACUAGUUCUUCCUAUAGAGCCGUGGUAGACUACCACGUUGAUAGGCUGGAUGUGGAAGCGCGGCAACGCGUGUAGCUGACCAGUACUAAUAGCUCAAUUGGCUUGAUUUA
rnacentral:rRNA from 1 species